rnacentral:rRNA from 1 species
UUAAGCGACUAAGCGUACACGGUGGAUGCCCUGGCAGUCAGAGGCGAUGAAGGACGUGCUAAUCUGCGAUAAGCGUCGGUAAGGUGAUAUGAACCGUUAUAACCGGCGAUUUCCGAAUGGGGAAACCCAGUGUGAUUCGUCACACUAUCAUUAACUGAAUCCAUAGGUUAAUGAGGCGAACCGGGGGAACUGAAACAUCUAAGUACCCCGAGGAAAAGAAAUCAACCGAGAUUCCCCCAGUAGCGGCGAGCGAACGGGGAGCAGCCCAGAGCCUGAAUCAGUGUGUGUGUUAGUGGAAGCGUCUGGAAAGGCGCGCGAUACAGGGUGACAGCCCCGUACACAAAAAUGCACAUACUGUGAGCUCGAUGAGUAGGGCGGGACACGUGGUAUCCUGUCUGAAUAUGGGGGGACCAUCCUCCAAGGCUAAAUACUCCUGACUGACCGAUAGUGAACCAGUACCGUGAGGGAAAGGCGAAAAGAACCCCGGCGAGGGGAGUGAAAAAGAACCUGAAACCGUGUACGUACAAGCAGUGGAGCACAGAGCAAUCUGUGUGACUGCGUACCUUUUGUAUAAUGGGUCAGCGACUUAUAUUCUGUAGCAAGGUUAACCGAAUAGGGGAGCCGAAGGGAAACCGAGUCUUAACUGGGCGUUAAGUUGCAGGGUAUAGACCCGAAACCCGGUGAUCUAGCCAUGGCAGGUUGAAGGUUGGGUAACACUAACUGGAGGACCGAACCGACUAAUGUUGAAAAAUUAGCGGAUGACUUGUGGCUGGGGGGUGAAAGGCCAAUCAAACCGGGAGAUAGCUGGUUCUCCCCGAAAGCUAUUUAGGUAGCGCCUCGUGAAUUCAUCUCCGGGGUAGAGCACUGUUUCGGCAAGGGGGUCAUCCCGACUUACCAACCCGAUGCAAACUGCGAAUACCGGAGAAUGUUAUCACGGGAGACACACGGCGGGUGCUAACGUCCGUCGUGAAGAGGGAAACAACCCAGACCGCCAGCUAAGGUCCAAAAGUCAUGGUUAAGUGGGAAACGAUGUGGGAAGGCCCAGACAGCCAGGAUGUUGGCUUAGAAGCAGCCAUCAUUUAAAGAAAGCGUAAUAGCUCACUGGUCGAGUCGGCCUGCGCGGAAGAUGUAACGGGGCUAAACCAUGCACCGAAGCUGCGGCAGCGACGCUGAUGCGUUGUUGGGUAGGGGAGCGUUCUGUAAGCCUGCGAAGGUGUGCUGUGAGGCAUGCUGGAGGUAUCAGAAGUGCGAAUGCUGACAUAAGUAACGAUAAAGCGGGUGAAAAGCCCGCUCGCCGGAAGACCAAGGGUUCCUGUCCAACGUUAAUCGGGGCAGGGUGAGUCGACCCCUAAGGCGAGGCCGAAAGGCGUAGUCGAUGGGAAACAGGUUAAUAUUCCUGUACUUGGUGUUACUGCGAAGGGGGGACGGAGAAGGCUAUGUUGGCCGGGCGACGGUUGUCCCGGUUUAAGCGUGUAGGCUGGUUUUCCAGGCAAAUCCGGAAAAUCAAGGCUGAGGCGUGAUGACGAGGCACUACGGUGCUGAAGCAACAAAUGCCCUGCUUCCAGGAAAAGCCUCUAAGCAUCAGGUAACAUCAAAUCGUACCCCAAACCGACACAGGUGGUCAGGUAGAGAAUACCAAGGCGCUUGAGAGAACUCGGGUGAAGGAACUAGGCAAAAUGGUGCCGUAACUUCGGGAGAAGGCACGCUGAUAUGUAGGUGAAGUCCCUCGCGGAUGGAGCUGAAAUCAGUCGAAGAUACCAGCUGGCUGCAACUGUUUAUUAAAAACACAGCACUGUGCAAACACGAAAGUGGACGUAUACGGUGUGACGCCUGCCCGGUGCCGGAAGGUUAAUUGAUGGUUCAGCGCAAGCGAAGCUCUUGAUCGAAGCCCGGUAAACGGCGGCCGUAACUAUAACGGUCCUAAGGUAGCGAAAUUCCUUGUCGGGUAAGUUCCGACCUGCACGAAUGGCGUAAUGAUGGCCAGGCUGUCUCCACCCGAGACUCAGUGAAAUUGAACUCGCUGUGAAGAUGCAGUGUACCCGCGGCAAGACGGAAAGACCCCGUGAACCUUUACUAUAGCUUGACACUGAACAUUGAGCCUUGAUGUGUAGGAUAGGUGGGAGGCUUUGAAGUGUGGACGCCAGUCUGCAUGGAGCCGACCUUGAAAUACCACCCUUUAAUGUUUGAUGUUCUAACGUUGACCCGUGAUCCGGGUUGCGGACAGUGUCUGGUGGGUAGUUUGACUGGGGCGGUCUCCUCCUAAAGAGUAACGGAGGAGCACGAAGGUUGGCUAAUCCUGGUCGGACAUCAGGAGGUUAGUGCAAUGGCAUAAGCCAGCUUGACUGCGAGCGUGACGGCGCGAGCAGGUGCGAAAGCAGGUCAUAGUGAUCCGGUGGUUCUGAAUGGAAGGGCCAUCGCUCAACGGAUAAAAGGUACUCCGGGGAUAACAGGCUGAUACCGCCCAAGAGUUCAUAUCGACGGCGGUGUUUGGCACCUCGAUGUCGGCUCAUCACAUCCUGGGGCUGAAGUAGGUCCCAAGGGUAUGGCUGUUCGCCAUUUAAAGUGGUACGCGAGCUGGGUUUAGAACGUCGUGAGACAGUUCGGUCCCUAUCUGCCGUGGGCGCUGGAGAACUGAGGGGGGCUGCUCCUAGUACGAGAGGACCGGAGUGGACGCAUCACUGGUGUUCGGGUUGUCAUGCCAAUGGCACUGCCCGGUAGCUAAAUGCGGAAGAGAUAAGUGCUGAAAGCAUCUAAGCACGAAACUUGCCCCGAGAUGAGUUCUCCCUGACUCCUUGAGAGUCCUGAAGGAACGUUGAAGACGACGACGUUGAUAGGCCGGGUGUGUAAGCGCAGCGAUGCGUUGAGCUAACCGGUACUAAUGAACCGUGAGGCUUAACCU